rnacentral:rRNA from 1 species
UACAGAGGUCUCAAGCGUUGUUCGGAUUCAUUGGGCGUAAAGGGUGCGUAGGCGGCGCGGUAAGUCGGGUGUGAAAUCUCGGAGCUUAACUCCGAAACUGCAUUCGAUACUGCCGUGCUUGAGUACGGGAGAGGUGAGUGGAACUCCGAGUGUAGAGGUGAAAUUCGUAGAUAUUCGGAAGAACACCAGUGGCGAAGGCGACUCACUGGCCCGUUACUGACGCUGAGGCACGAAAGCGUGGGGAGCAAACAGGG